GGUUAAGCGAAUAAGCGUACACGGUGGAUGCCUAGGCAGUCAGAGGCGAUGAAGGACGUGCUAAUCUGCGAAAAGCGUCGGUAAGGUGAUAUGAACCGUUAUAACCGGCGAUGUCCGAAUGGGGAAACCCAGUGUGAUUCGUCACACUAUCA
rnacentral:rRNA from 1 species